CCUACGGGUGGCAGCAGUGAGGAAUAUUGGUCAAUGGACGAGAGUCUGAACCAGCCAAGUAGCGUGAAGGAUGACUGCCCUAUGGGUUGUAAACCUCUUUUGUCGGAGAACAAAACCCGGGACGUGUCCCGGCCUGCGUGUAUCCGACGAAAAAGCAUCGGCUAACUCCGUGCCAGCAGCCGCGGUAAUACGGAGGAGGCGAGCGUUAUCCGGAUUUAUUGGGUUUAAAGGGUGCGUAGGCGGUCCGUUAAGUCAGCGGUAAAAUUGCGGGGCUCAACCCCGUCGAGCCGUUGAAACUGGCAGACUUGAGUUGGCGAGAAGUACGCGGAAUGCGCGGUGUAGCGGUGAAAUGCAUAGAUAUCGCGCAGAACUCCGAUUGCGAAGGCAGCGUACCGGCGCCAGACUGACGCUGAGGCACGAAAGCGUGGGGAUCGAACAGGAUUAGAUACCCCUGUAGUC
rnacentral:rRNA from 1 species